rnacentral:rRNA from 1 species
UGGGGAAUCUUGCGCAAUGGGCGAAAGCCUGACGCAGCCAUGCCGCGUGAAUGAUGAAGGUCUUAGGAUUGUAAAAUUCUUUCACCGGGGACGAUAAUGACGGUACCCGGAGAAGAAGCCCCGGCUAACUUCGUGCCAGCAGCCGCGGUAAUACGAAGGGGGCUAGCGUUGCUCGGAAUUACUGGGCGUAAAGGGAGCGUAGGCGGACAUUUAAGUCAGGGGUGAAAUCCCGGGGCUCAACCUCGGAAUUGCCUUUGAUACUGGGUGUCUUGAGUGUGAGAGAGGUAUGUGGAACUCCGAGUGUAGAGGUGAAAUUCGUAGAUAUUCGGAAGAACACCAGUGGCGAAGGCGACAUACUGGCUCAUUACUGACGCUGAGGCUCGAAAGCGUGGGGAGCAAACAGGAUUAGAUACCCUGGUAGUCCACGCCGUAAAGCGACGAUUGCUAGUUGUCGGGAUGCAUGCUUUCGGUGACGCAGCUAACGCAUUAAGCAAUCCGCCUGGGGNGUACGUCGCAGAUAAAACUCAAAUGAAUUGACGGGGGUCAUAG